rnacentral:tRNA from 1 species
CGGUGUGUAGCUCAGUCAGUAGAGCGCCUGGCUCCGGACCGGGAGGGCGCAGGGGCGGAACCUGCCACACCGG